GUCAAAUCUGUUUCUCCACUCGUAAUUUCUGCUGGCUUGGAUGUCCGUACUUCUAUUUGUGAUGUUCUUGAUGCUGUCGCAGAGAAUGAUUCUUCUGUACAUCCUACGGCAAAUCUUCUUCGUGAAUUGAAUGCCACGUCUACUGUAGAGUUGGGAGAUCUUGAUUAUGAUACCGUGAUUGCUGCUUAUGAAAAGAUAAGUGCAGAUUUUUUCCACACUGUCCCGGAAGAGCAUGCCUUGAUUAUUCUGUCACAUGCUAUUCAUGAUAUGUCAUCCGGGGAUCUUAUUUUG
rnacentral:misc_RNA from 1 species